rnacentral:rRNA from 1 species
GACGAACGCUGGCGGCGUGCUUAACACAUGCAAGUCGAACGGAAAGGCCCUGCUUUUGUGGGGUGCUCGAGUGGCGAACGGGUGAGUAUCACGUGAGUAACCUGCCCUUUACUUUGGGAUAACUUCAGUAAACUGGGGCUCAUACCGGAUAUGAGCUCCUUCUGCAUGGUUUGUGUUGUAAAGUUUCGGCGGUUGGGGAUGGACUCGCGGCUUAUCAGCUUGUUGGUGGGGUAGUGGCUUACCAAGGCUUUGACGGGUAGCCGGCCUGCGAGGGUGACCGGCCACAUUGGGACUGAGAUACGGCCCAGACUGCUACGGGAGGAAGCAGUGGGGAAUAGUGCAAAAAGGGCGGAAGCAGGAAGCAGGAACGUCGCGUGCGGGAUGACGGCCGGCGGGUUGGAAACCGCGUGAGAGUGGGACGAAGAGUGAGUGACGGUAAUGGGUAAAGAAGCAACGGCUAACUACGUG